CUUGGUCAUUUAGAGGAAGUAAAAGUCGUAACAAGGUCUCCGUAGGUGAACCUGCGGAGGGAUCAUUACAAGUUGACCCCGGCCCCCGGGCCGGGAUGUUCACAACCCUUUGUUGUCCGACUCUGUUGCCUCCGGGGCGACCCUGCCUCCCGGCGGGGGCCCCGGGUGGACACUUCAAAACUCUUGCGUAACUUUGCAGUCUGAGUAAAUUUAAUUAAUAAAUUAAAACUUUCAACAACGGAUCUCUUGGUUCUGGCAUCGAUGAAGAACGCAGCGAAAUGCGAUAAGUAAUGUGAAUUGCAGAAUUCAGUGAAUCAUCGAAUCUUUGAACGCACAUUGCGCCCCCUGGUAUUCCGGGGGGCAUGCCUGUUCGAGCGUCAUUUCACCACUCAAGCCUCGCUUGGUAUUGGGCGACGCGGUCCGCCGCGCGCCUCAAAUCGGCCGGCUGGGUCUUCUGUCCCCUAAGCGUUGUGGAAACUAUUCGCUAAAGGGUGUUCGGGAGGCUACGCCGUAAAACAACCCCAUUUCUAAGGUUGACCUCGGAUCAGGUAGGGAUACCCGCUGAACUUAAGCAUAUCAAUAAGCGGAG
rnacentral:rRNA from 1 species